GAUGAACGCUGGCGGCGUGCCUAAUACAUGCAAGUCGAGCGAACGGACGAGAAGCUUGCUUCUCUGAUGUUAGCGGCGGACGGGUGAGUAACACGUGGAUAACCUACCUAUAAGACUGGGAUAACUUCGGGAAACCGGAGCUAAUACCGGAUAAUAUUUUGAACCGCAUGGUUCAAAAGUAAAAGACGGUCUUGCUGUCACUUAUAGAUGGAUCCGCGCUGCAUUAGCUAGUUGGUAAGGUAACGGCUUACCAAGGCAACGAUGCAUAGCCGACCUGAGAGGGGGAUCGGCCCAACUGAAACUGAACAACGGUCAAGACUCCAAGGGGGGGCAGAAGUGGGGAAUUUUCCGAAGGGGGCGAAAGCCUGGCGGAGCAACGCCGCGGGAGGAAUGAGGGUCUUCGGUUCGAAAAACUCUUUUAUUGGGGAAAAAAAUAUUUGGAAGUAAUUGUGCACAUCUUGACGGUACCUAAUAAGAAAGCCACGGCUAACUACGU
rnacentral:rRNA from 1 species